rnacentral:rRNA from 1 species
CUGGCGGCGUGCUUAACACAUGCAAGUCGAACGAUGAAGCCCUUCGGGGUGGAUUAGUGGCGAACGGGUGAGUAACACGUGGGCAAUCUGCCCUUCACUCUGGGACAAGCCCUGGAAACGGGGUCUAAUACCGGAUACCACUCCUGCCUGCAUGGGCGGGGGUUGAAAGCUCCGGCGGUGAAGGAUGAGCCCGCGGCCUAUCAGCUUGUUGGUGGGGUAAUGGCCCACCAAGGCGACGACGGGUAGCCGGCCUGAGAGGGCGACCGGCCACACUGGGACUGAGACACGGCCCAGACUCCUACGGGAGGCAGCAGUGGGGAAUAUUGCACAAUGGGCGAAAGCCUGAUGCAGCGACGCCGCGUGAGGGAUGACGGCCUUCGGGUUGUAAACCUCUUUCAGCAGGGAAGAAGCGAAAGUGACGGUACCUGCAGAAGAAGCGCCGGCUAACUACGUGCCAGCAGCCGCGGUAAUACGUAGGGCGCAAGCGUUGUCCGGAAUUAUUGGGCGUAAAGAGCUCGUAGGCGGCUUGUCACGUCGGAUGUGAAAGCCCGAGGCUUAACCUCGGGUCUGCAUUCGAUACGGGCUAGCUAGAGUGUGGUAGGGGAGAUCGGAAUUCCUGGUGUAGCGGUGAAAUGCGCAGAUAUCAGGAGGAACACCGGUGGCGAAGGCGGAUCUCUGGGCCAUUACUGACGCUGAGGAGCGAAAGCGUGGGGAGCGAACAGGAUUAGAUACCCUGGUAGUCCACGCCGUAAACGUUGGGAACUAGGUGUUGGCGACAUUCCACGUCGUCGGUGCCGCAGCUAACGCA